rnacentral:rRNA from 1 species
AGAGUUUGAUCCUGGCUCAGGAUGAACGCUAGCGGCAGGCCUAACACAUGCAAGUCGAGGGGCAGCACGGUGUAGCAAUACACUGGUGGCGACCGGCGCACGGGUGCGUAACGCGUAUGCAACCUACCCAUAACAGGGGGAUAACACUGAGAAAUUGGUACUAAUACCCCAUAACAUCAGGACCGGCAUCGGUUCUGGUUGAAAACUCCGGUGGUUAUGGAUGGGCAUGCGUUGUAUUAGCUGGUUGGUGAGGUAACGGCUCACCAAGGCAACGAUACAUAGGGGGACUGAGAGGUUAACCCCCCACAUUGGUACUGAGACACGGACCAAACUCCUACGGGAGGCAGCAGUGAGGAAUAUUGGUCAAUGGACGCAAGUCUGAACCAGCCAUGCCGCGUGCAGGAAGACGGCUCUAUGAGUUGUAAACUGCUUUUGUACGAGAGUAAACGCUCUUACGUGUAAGAGCCUGAAAGUAUCGUACGAAUAAGGAUCGGCUAACUCCGUGCCAGCAGCCGCGGUAAUACGGAGGAUCCAAGCGUUAUCCGGAUUUAUUGGGUUUAAAGGGUGCGUAGGCGGUUUGAUAAGUUAGAGGUGAAAUACCGGUGCUUAACACCGGAACUGCCUCUAAUACUGUUGAACUAGAGAGUAGUUGCGGUAGGCGGAAUGUAUGGUGUAGCGGUGAAAUGCUUAGAGAUCAUACAGAACACCGAUUGCGAAGGCAGCUUACCAAACUAUAUCUGACGUUGAGGCACGAAAGCGUGGGGAGCAAACAGGAUUAGAUACCCUGGUAGUCCACGCAGUAAACGAUGAUAACUCGCUGUCGGCGAUACACAGUCGGUGGCUAAGCGAAAGCGAUAAGUUAUCCACCUGGGGAGUACGUUCGCAAGAAUGAAACUCAAAGGAAUUGACGGGGGCCCGCACAAGCGGAGGAACAUGUG